UCAUCUAUUGAAGCACCCGUUUCUAUUUAUUCAAGAUAUAUGGACAGUAAUAUAAUGUAGGGGUAUAGGCCAGCUGAACCGAUACACACAGUUGAGAGAAAUCAUGUUUCACAUGUUCACUUCAAACUGACCAGAACGCACUACAUAAGUAGGGACACACAACAUCUUAUUCAAGGUGUACAUAGAACACACUGGAACAGCCUAACAGGUAGGUUCAGAAUGGCCUCAGCGAGCUUCAACAGCUUGAUUCACACCUUCUGCCUUGACAAGCUUGUCCAGAUACUCCUGCCU
rnacentral:lncRNA from 1 species